GACGAACGCUUGCGGCGUGCUUAACACAUGCAAGUCGAACGGAAAGGCCCUGCUUUUGUGGGGUGCUCGAGUGGCGAACGGGUGAGUAACACGUGAGUAACCUGCCCUUGACUUUGGGAUAACUUCAGGAAACUGGGGCUAAUACCGGAUAGGAGCUCCUGCUGCAUGGUGGGGGUUGGAAAGUUUCGGCGGUUGGGGAUGGACUCGCGGCUUAUCAGCUUGUUGGUGGGGUAGUGGCUUACCAAGGCUUUGACGGGUAGCCGGCCUGAGAGGGUGACCGGCCACAUUGGGACUGAGAUACGGCCCAGACUCCUACGGGAGGCAGCAGUGGGGAAUAUUGCACAAUGGGCGGAAGCCUGAUGCAGCAACGCCGCGUGCGGGAUGACGGCCUUCGGGUUGUAAACCGCUUUCGCCUGUGACGAAGCGUGAGUGACGGUAAUGGGUAAAGAAGCACCGGCUAACUACGUGCCAGCAGCCGCGGUGAUACGUAGGGUGCGAGCGUUGUCCGGAUUUAUUGGGCGUAAAGGGCUCGUAGGUGGUUGAUCGCGUCGGAAGUGUAAUCUUGGGGCUUAACCCUGAGCGUGCUUUCGAUACGGGUUGACUUGAGGAAGGUAGGGGAGAAUGGAAUUCCUGGUGGAGCGGUGGAAUGCGCAGAUAUCAGGAGGAACACCAGUGGCGAAGGCGGUUCUCUGGGCCUUUCCUGACGCUGAGGAGCGAAAGCGUGGGGAGCGAACAGGCUUAGAUACCCUGGUAGUCCACGCUGUAAACGGUGGGUACUAGGUGUGGGGUCCAUUCCACGGGUUCCGUGCCGUAGCUAACGCUUUAAGUACCCCGCCUGGGGAGUACGGCCGCAAGGCUAAAACUCAAAGGAAUUGACGGGGCCCCGCACAAGCGGCGGAGCAUGCGGAUUAAUUCGAUGCAACGCGUAGAACCUUACCUGGGUUUGAUAUGGAUCGGGAGUGCUCAGAGAUGGGUGUGCCUCUUUUGGGGUCGGUUCACAGGUGGUGCAUGGCUGUCGUCAGCUCGUGUCGUGAGAUGUUGGGUUAAGUCCCGCAACGAGCGCAACCCUUGUUCACUGUUGCCAGCACGUUAUGGUGGGGACUCAGUGGAGACCGCCGGGGUCAACUCGGAGGAAGGUGGGGAUGACGUCAAGUCAUCAUGCCCCUUAUGUCCAGGGCUUCACGCAUGCUACAAUGGCUGGUACAGAGAGUGGCGAGCCUGUGAGGGUGAGCGAAUCUCGGAAAGCCGGUCUCAGUUCGGAUUGGGGUCUGCAACUCGACCUCAUGAAGUCGGAGUCGCUAGUAAUCGCAGAUCAGCAACGCUGCGGUGAAUACGUUCCCGGGGCU
rnacentral:rRNA from 1 species